rnacentral:rRNA from 1 species
UACGGGGGGUGCAAGCGUUGUCCGGAUUUACUGGGCGUAAAGGGCGCGUAGGCGGCCACCGCAAGUCGACUGUGAAAUCUCCGGGCUUAACCCGGAAAGGUCAGCCGAUACUGCGGGGCUAGAGUGCAGAAGGGGCAACUGGAAUUCUCGGUGUAGCGGUGAAAUGCGUAGAUAUCGAGAGGAACACCUGCGGCGAAGGCGGGUUGCUGGGCUGACACUGACGCUGAUGCGCGAAAGCUAGGGGAGCGAACGGG